CUUUCCUAGAAACCCUGAAACUUAAAGACAAUAGGAUCUGGAAGGACACGCCAGUGGAAAUUGGCUAUCUCUGUGGACCAGGAAAUUUCAUCUACAAAAAGUUUGUUGCCCCAGGUAUGGAGCAAGAGGUGUCUUGCCUCGUAUUUGGAAAUAAUGAAUGCUACACAGAGAGACCAAGAAGUAUCCGAACAAAUAAACCUUGCAGAGUGUUGGCCGUGACACCUAUGAUGGGUGAGGAAAGGUAUCACAAGUUUUCACCCUUACAACU
rnacentral:lncRNA from 1 species